GCUUACGGCCAUACCACCUUAGGCACGCCCGAUCUCGUCUGAUCUCGGAAGCUAAGCAGGGUCGGGGCUGGUUAGUACUUGGAUGGGUGACCGCCUGGGAAUACCAGGUGCUGUAAGUA
rnacentral:rRNA from 10 species